rnacentral:rRNA from 1 species
UACGUAGGGAGCAAGCGUUGUCCGGAAUCAUUGGGCGUAAAGCGCGCGUAGGUGGCCAUGUAAGUCCGCUGUGAAAGUCAAAGGCUCAACCUUUGAAAGCCGGUGGAUACUGCAUGGCUAGAGUACGGAAGAGGCGAGUGGAAUUCCUGGUGUAGCGGUGGAAUGCGCAGAUAUCAGGAGGAACACCAAUGGCGAAGGCAGCUCGCUGGGACGUGACUGACGCUGAGACGCGAAAGCGUGGGGAGCAAACAGG